rnacentral:piRNA from 1 species
UUUGUCAUUGAAAGUUCUUGAUGUUC